rnacentral:rRNA from 1 species
UACGGGGGGGGCAAGCGUUGUUCGGAAUUACUGGGCGUAAAGGGCUCGUAGGCGGCCAACUAAGUCGGACGUGAAAUCCCUCGGCUUAACCGGGGAACUGCAUCUGAUACUGGAUGGCUUGAGAUUGGGAGAGGGAUGCGGAAUUCCAGGUGUAGCGGUGAAAUGCGUAGAUAUCUGGAGGAACACCGGUGGCGAAGGCGGCAUCCUGGACCAACACUGACGCUGAGGAGCGAAAGCCAGGGGAGCAAACGGG